GGGGGUUGAUGUAUCAUUAUGCUAAGGGUUUCGUUUGAUGUUAGGAGGUAUUCAAGGGGCCGAGGGUCUGGAAUAAACACGCUAAGUGUGCGAAACUCCCUUUGUUCAAGUGAAGGUUUUGGAGGUGUUGGGAUUGCAAUAUCAGCGAAAUCGAACCAGGUGUACUCAAUUGCACAGAAAACGAGAAUUGACAAAGUCGAAAAAUAAAUCUGUCGAAGCCACACGAGCAUGCGGUCGCCCGUGUGGUAGGCCGUGUAGCAGUACAUAGCCGUGUGAUUGACGAAUCAGGUUGUGUGCGUGUGACACUGGCGCAUGACACAUUUGUGUGAUAGCCGAAGAGGCCGUGUGCUAGACACCGAUUUGAUCAAUUGGGCUGUGUGGGCCACACGGGUGAACCACAUGGGCAUGUGAAAUUCUAAGCCAUGUCGUGUGGGGCCAAAGCCAAUUUGGGCAGUGUGGGCCACACCGGCGUGUGGGCCCCACACGGGUAGGCCAUAUGGGCGUGUGAGCCCAUUAUUUAUGAAAUACUUUAAAAGGUAGCUCGAGUCGCCCAAGUCGUUUGGGACCUAUUGUAGGGUCGGUAAGAGAUAUUAGACCCAUGAUUACGUGAUUUGACUAUGUGAUAUAUAUGCUUUUAACAUGUAGACUGAUAUGUAUGUAUGAUGUGUUAAUUGCAUAAUUGCAUGUCAUGUAUUGCAUGUUGCAUUGCAUCGGGUUUAGGUUAAUAUAUAUGGAGGAAGUAUUCUGAAAGGCUCCUAAGCCUUAUAUCUGGCAGCACAGUUGCAACUAUCUGACUAUGUGUCGCUUUCGAUACAGCAUGGUGUGUAGGGAUGGGUGAGUCCAUUUUAUCGCCACAUGGUGUGUAAAGUUGAACGGAGUUAGUGUGUAGAGGCUGGCGGGAAAUCCUCAAACUUGUCGGAUCGGUGAAACGGAGGACUUGAGGUUGGCCACAUGUAAAUUUUUAGAUUGUUUUCUUUUCGAUUACAUCUAAUUUUUAUUACUUAUUUAGGUUUUUGAUGUAAUUUUGGACUUAGACUGUUUGGUUUAAUUUGGAACUUAUUACGAUUUUGUGAUUAAUUGAAAUUGCAACUCACCAAAACACGGUUUUCCUAAAAA